rnacentral:tRNA from 1 species
GGCCUGUUAGCUCAGCUGGUUAGAGCGUGGUGCUAAUAACGCCAAGGUUGUAGGUUCGAUCCCCACAUGGGCCA